rnacentral:rRNA from 1 species
CCUANGGGUGGCAGCAGCAAGGAAUUUUGCGCAAUGGGCGAAAGCCUGACGCAGCGACGUCGCGUGGGGGAUGACGGCCUUCGGGUUGUAAACCCCUUUUCCCGAGGAAGAAAUAUGACGGUACUCGGGGAAUAAGUCUUGGCUAACUACGUGCCAGCAGCCGCGGUAAUACGUAGAAGGCGAACGUUAUCCGGAUUUACUGGGCGUAAAGAGGGUGUAGACGGUUCUUUAAGUCAGUUGUGAAAUCCCCCGGUUCAAUCGGGGAACUGCAUCGAAAACUGAUCGGCUUGAGUGCAGGAGAGGAGACUGGAAUUCCAGGUGUAGCGGUGAAAUGCGUAGAUAUCUGGAGGAACGCCGGUGGCGAAAGCGGGUCUCUGGCCUGUAACUGACGCUGAGGCACGAAAGCUAAGGGAGCAAACGGGAUUAGAUACCCCANUANUC